rnacentral:sRNA from 1 species
CUUCUUCUCCGAAAGUUUCACAUACUGGAUUUUGCUCUUGGCGAGCUAGCUAACAAUGUCACGACGUUCGGCGGUUCUUAAUGGACCUAACUAAAACGCCCAAUAAAUUUUAAACCCAUUAAUGUCUAUCCCUUUGUGUCGUAAGUCCACGUUUCUCCACCAUUCUUUCAUCAUCAUCGUCAAGCAAUGUUUAUUAAUAUUAUGAGCUACUUCCACAAGACGUCUUUGUUAGUAAAGAAAUGGGAAGUCGUGCAGUAUGUAUACAACGUGUGGCACCACCGUUUUUUGAAGCCUGGCAAGUGAAGAAGAUAAAAACAGUUGGUUCCUUUUUUGUGAAUACUAGUGUUAAGAGAAGAAGAAGCACUAGUGUGAGAUGUAGCAGCAUAGCUACAUGGGGAAGAAGAUGACGAUAAAAUUAGGGAUUUCGAAAUUGAAUUGGGGAUUUUGUUGUUUCAUUUUAAAUAAAACGACGUCGUUUUCGCUAUUAACAGAAAUAAUUAACGUCUGCUAACGGCGGUUAUCGGAUCCAUUAAUGCCAGUUAACGUCUCGGGGAUUUUGGCCUGGUCAACAUUUUGAUUUGUGUUAAAUGGCGG